CGCUGUUAUCCCUAAGGUAAUUUAGUCUUAUAAUCAUUAAAAAUGGAUCAAAAAUUUAUAAACAAAUAUAAAAAAAUAAAAAGAGUUAUACUAAUCUUCCCAUCACCCCAACAAAAUUCAAAUAAUAUUAAAAUUACUAUCCCACAAAAAAUAAAAAAUUAAAUUAAACUCUAUAGGGUCUUCUCGUCCCAAAAAAAUAUUUAGGCAUUUUAACCUAAAAUUUAAAUUCAACAAAAUAAAAAUUUAAAACAGUUUAUACCUCGUCAAGCCAUUCAUUCCAGCAUUCAAUUAAAAAACUAAUGAUUAUGCUACCUUUGCACAGUCAAAAUACUGCGGCCAUUUAAAAAUCAGUGGGCAGGCAAUACUUCAAAUAAAUUACAAGAAGAGAUGUUUUUGUUAAACAGGCG
rnacentral:rRNA from 1 species